UGGCUCAGGACGAACGCUGGCGGCGUGCCUAACACAUGCAAGUCGCACGGGCUCUUUUUGACUGCUUGCAGGAUAGAAGAGUUAGUGGCGGACGGGUGAGUAACGCGUGAGGAUCUGCCCAUUGGCGGGGGACAACAGUUGGAAACGGCUGCUAAUACCCCAUAAGCCGGGAGGUAAAAGGAGCAAUCCACCGGUGGAGGAUCUCGCGUCCUAUCAGCUAGUUGGUGAGGUAAUGGCUUACCAAGGCGAUGACGGGUAACUGGUCUGAGAGGGCGACCAGUCACACUGGAACUGAGACACGGUCCAGACUCCUACGGGAGGCAGCAGUGGGGAAUAUUGGGCAAUGGGGGCAACCCUGACCCAGCGACGCCGCGUGAGGGAAGAAGUCUUUCGGGACGUAAACCUCUGUUGUACGGGAAGAAGGAAGUGACGGUACCGUACGAGGAAGCCCCGGCAAACUACGUGCCAGCAGCCGCGGUAAUACGUAGGGGGCGAGCGUUGUCCGGAAUUACUGGGCGUAAAGAGCACGUAGGCGGAUCGUUAAGUCUACUGUGAAAGUCCCGGGCUCAACCUGGGAAUUGCAGUGGAUACUGGCGGACUAGAGUACUGGAGAGGGAAGUGGAAUUCCCGGUGUAGCGGUGAAAUGCGCAGAUAUCGGGAGGAACACCAGUGGCGAAGGCGGCUUCCUGGCCAGUAACUGACGCUGAGGUGCGAAAGCUGGGGGAGCGAACCGGAUUAGAUACCCGGGUAGUCCAGCCGUAAACGCUGAAUGCUAGGUGUUCGCAGUGCGAGCUGUGAGUGCCGCAGUUAACGCGAUAAGCAUUCCGCCUGGGGAGUACGACCGCAAGGUUGAAACUCAAAAGAAUUGACGGGGGCCCGCACAAGCGGUGGAGCACGUGGUUUAAUUCGAUGCAAACCGAAGAACCUUACCUGGGUCUGACAUGUACGUGUUACGGAUCUGAAAGGUGAAGGACCCUUGCUUCGGUAAGGGAGCGUACACAGGUGCUGCAUGGCUGUCGUCAGCUCGUGUCGUGAGAUGUUGGGUUAAGUCCCGCAACGAGCGCAACCCCUACGCUGAGUUACCAGCAUUUCGGAUGGGGACUCUCAGUGGACUGCCAGCGACAAGCUGGAGGAAGGUGGGGACGACGUCAAGUCAUCAUGGCCCUUAUGUCCAGGGCUACACACGUGCUACAAUGGCCGGCACAACGAGAAGCGACCCCGCGAGGGCAAGCGGAUCUCCCAAAGCCGGUCCCAGUUCGGAUUGCAGUCUGCAACUCGAGUGCAUGAAGCUGGAAUCGCUAGUAAUCGUGGAUCAGCCAAGCCGCGGUGAAUGCGUUCCCGGGCCUUGUACACACCGCCCGUCACACCAUCCGAGUUGGUGCACCCGAAGCCAGUGGCACUAACCCGCCAGCCGGCGGGGAGGAGCUGUCGAAGGUGUGUCUGGU
rnacentral:rRNA from 1 species